GACGCUGGAGCCAGACGGCUAGGCAGCUGCCUGCAAAGCAGCUCGAAGUGGGUUCGACUCCCACCGGCGUUU
rnacentral:tRNA from 1 species